rnacentral:ncRNA from 1 species
CAAAGGUUUGGUCCUGACUUUACUAUCAGCUUUAGCCAAACUUACACAUGCAAGUAUCCGCACCCCCGUGAGAAUGCCCCUACAGUUCCCUGCCCGGGAACAAGGAGCUGGUAUCAGGCACACCCUGGAUAAAGCCCACGACACCUUGCUCAGCCACACCCUCAAGGGUAUUCAGCAGUGACAGACAUUAAGCUAUAAGUGAAAACUUGACUUAGUCAAGGCUAAGAGGGUCGGUAAAACUCGUGCCAGCCACCGCGGUUAUACGAGAGACCCAAGUUGAUAGUUUCCGGCGUAAAGAGUGGUUAAGAUAAAAUUUAAACUAGAGCCGAACGCUUUCAGAGCUGUUAUACGCCCCGAAAGUAAGAAGUUCAAUCACGAAAGUGGCUUUAUAAUUACUGAACCCACGAAAGCUAUGAAACAAACUGGGAUUAGAUACCCCACUAUGCCUAGCCCUAAACAUUGAUAGUAUAGUACACCUACUAUCCGCCUGGGUACUACGAGCACCAGCUUAAAACCCAAAGGACUUGGCGGUGCUUUAGAUCCACCUAGAGGAGCCUGUCCUAUAACCGAUAACCCCCGUUUAACCUCACCCUUAAUUGCUCAUACCGCCUAUAUACCGCCGUCGUAAGCUUACCCUGUGAGGGCUCAAUAGUAAGCAAAAUUGGCACAACCCAGAACGUCAGGUCGACGUGUAGCGAAUGAAAGGGGAAGAGAUGGGCUACAUUCACUAAGACAGUGAACACGGAUGAUAUGCUGAAAUGCAUAUCCGAAGGAGGAUUUAGCAGUAAGCAGGAAAUAGAGUGUCCCGCUGAAAUUGGCCCUGAAGCGCGCACACACCGGCCGUCACUCUUCCCGAGCCCAACAACUACAUGUAACUAAGAACAUCACAUAGCUAAGGGGAGGCAAGUCGUAACAUGGUAAGUGUACCGGAAGGUGCACUUGGAACAAC